GCCUUAUUAGCUUAGUUGGUAGAGCACCCGCUUAGUAAGCGGGAGGUCGUCGGUUCAACUCCGGCAGAAUGCU
rfam:Perkinsus marinus ATCC 50983 gcontig_1104296280320, whole genome shotgun sequence.